rnacentral:rRNA from 1 species
UACGUAGGGUGCAAGCGUUGUUCGGAAUUACUGGGCAUAAAGCGCACGUAGGUGGUCCGCUAAGUCGCGUGUGAAAUCCCCCGGCUCAACCGGGGAAAUGCGCGUGAUACUGGCGGGCUUGAGAUCGGGAGGGGUGAAUGGAACUCCAGGUGGAGCGGUGAAAUGCGUAGAUAUCUGGAGGAACACCGGUGGCGAAAGCGGUUCACUGGCCCGACACUGACACUGAGGUGCGAAAGCUAGGGUAGCAAACGGG